rnacentral:rRNA from 1 species
CAUAUAGUAGAGUCCACCUAAGGAUAGUACUCUUCAUAGGUCACGGUAAGACGAACCGUUUGAUAGGUAUUAGGUGUACAAUUGGUAACAAUUUUAGCCGAGAUAUACUAACCGACCGAAAAUUUUUUCC